rnacentral:rRNA from 2 species
CAGUCAUACCAACGGGAAAUCAACCUUUUGAGCUCGGUCUCGUGGGUUUUGAAUAGUUUCAAAGCCUUCGGAUUCGCGAGAUUGGGAUCUCUCGGUGUACUUUCUCGUACGGUUAGUCAACAUCGUUUUGAAUGUCAUAAAAUGACUGGAGGAAUGUAGCUUCGAUCUCGUAUUGAAGUGUUAUAGCCUUUGGUAGAUGUGAUGUUUGAGACCGAGGAUUGCAACGGAUACCCUUCAGGGCUAUUCGUCUGAUCUCUGAUACGUUGCCUUGAUGUUGAAAGCUUGCUUAUGAUGUUAGGGUAUUACGGUCAAAAGGUUAGAACUCAUUAGA